rnacentral:tRNA from 1 species
CGGGAUGUGGCUCAGCUUGGUAGAGCGCCUCGUUCGGGACGAGGAGGUCGCUGGUUCGAAUCCAGUCAUCCCGACCA